rnacentral:rRNA from 1 species
GACGAACGCUGGCGGUGUGCUUAACACAUGCAAGUCGAACGGUAAGGCCCUUUCGGGGGUACACGAGUGGCGAACGGGUGAGUAACACGUGAGUAACCUGCCCUCAUCUCUGGGAUAACAGUCGGAAACGGUUGCUAAUACUGGAUAUGAGCUUGCAAGGCAUCUUGUGGGUUGGAAAGAUUUUUUUGGUUGGGGAUGGACUCGCGGCCUAUCAGCUUGUUGGUGAGGUAGUGGCUCACCAAGGCUUCGACGGGUAGCCGGCCUGAGAGGGCGACCGGCCACAUUGGGACUGAGAUACGGCCCAAACUCCUACGGGGGGCAGCAGUGGGGAAUAUUGCACAAUGGACGGGAGUCUGAUGCAGCAACGCCGCGUGCGGGAUGACGGCCUUCGGGUUGUAAACCGCUUUCAAUUGUGACGAAGCUUUUUGUGACGGUAGCAGUAGAAGAAGCACCGGCUAACUACGUG